AACGAACGCUGGCGGCAGGCUUAACACAUGCAAGUCGAACGCCCCGCAAGGGGAGUGGCAGACGGGUGAGUAACGCGUGGGAAUCUACCCUGAACUGCGGGAUAGCUCCGGGAAACUGGAAUUAAUACCGCAUGUGCCCUGAGGGGCAAAGAUUUAUCGGUUCAGGAUGAGCCCGCGUCCGAUUAGCUAGUUGGUGGGGUAAAGGCCUACCAAGGCGACGAUCGGUAGCUGGUCUAAGAGGAUGAUCAGCCACAUUGGGACUGAGACACGGCCCAAACUCCUACGGGAGGCAGCAGUGGGGAAUAUUGGACAAUGGGCGCAAGCCUGAUCCAGCCAUGCCGCGUGAGUGAUGAAGGCCCUAGGGUUGUAAAGCUCUUUCACCGGGGACGAUAAUGACGGUACCCGGAGAAGAAGCCCCGGCUAACUUCGUGCCAGCCGCCGCCGUAA
rnacentral:rRNA from 1 species